rnacentral:misc_RNA from 1 species
AACGCAUCUUGCGCCCUUUGGUCACUCCGAAGGGCAUGCCUGUUUGAGUGUCAUUUAUUGUUCUCAAUCUUCAAAUUUUGAAGCUUUUGGAUAUUGGGGGGAAUCUUGCUGGCAUAUAUAAUAUAUUGUUGGCUCCUCUUAAAUGCAUCAAUGGAGAACACUUAGCUCUGGUUUGAUAAUAUAUCUAUGCCAUUGCUUUGACAGCUUUUCCAGGGUUUUCUUGUCUAUUUAGAAAACUUGACCUCAAAUCAGGUAGGACUACCCGCUGAACUUAA